rnacentral:antisense_RNA from 1 species
GGCUCAGGGUUCUCUGUCCAGUCCUCAGCUGCCCUGGAGCACCCAAGAGGCAGACUGGCUGGGUGAUGCCUACGUGUUGAGAUCCUGGUCCCUCCACACACGCUCUACCAGCUGCUGCGUGAUGCCCGUGUCCAAGAUCAGGUUGUGCAGAAGGAAGUUGUUGCCUGGAACAGGAGGGGAGGGGUGGGGGUGGGGGCAUCUUCUUGCAGCUUCUUGCCCACCCUCACCCCCACCCUCAAGGCUCCACCAGGAGCCUCCUCCAUGACCUGGCCCUGGCCCAGGCCCAGCCCUUAGCUUGUGCCUGCUUAUUUCCACACCUGCCCGGCCUCUGGGUUCCUCUGGGCUGGCCCCAUGCUGCCUGGGCACUGCCCAGAGCCAGCUGCCCUGCCAGGCACUCACACUGCUUGGAGUCUGGAGUCACUUUCUCCAUGAGCUCAAUAAAGUUUUUCAGGAACUCGG